GAGAUAAUGAGAAGAAGAAGAAAAACAACAACGAUGCAGUGGAGACUUACGACUUGGCAUUUGGUGAUCACCUCAUUCUUUUCCUUGUUAAGUUGAUUGUUCUCCUCCUCAAGUUCAUGGAU
rnacentral:miRNA from 1 species